rnacentral:rRNA from 1 species
AUGGAUUAUCAACCACUUAUCUCCGCGCUUGAUGUCUGCACCGAGCCCAUCACGGUCGAUCUCCUUUUCUCUCUGGUGGCCAAUUUUGAUCAGCGGGUCAAACUGUACCACCGCAACAGCGGAGGCGGGUUCAAGUCCUCAGCGAACUCUGCCUCCCGAGGUAGGCAGGGAGGCAGAGGUGGCUAUCGCAACCAGAAGAGCGGCUCUAGCAAUGGAUCUCGUUGUGGCCCUGGCAGCGGCGGGCAUUCUGAUGGUGGCGGUGGCCCUACUGGUGGUGGCAGCGGCUACCAAGGGAGUGGUGGUGGCGCCGGCUACCACAACAAUGGUGGUGGCAGAGGCUACAAUGGCGGCUAUCACCACAACAAUGGUGGUGGCGGCUAUCAGGGUGGUGGUGGCAGCUGCUACUAUCACUCCAACAACAACAGCAACAACAAUCAACGACUCCCCUCCAACAACAAUUGGCGCUCCUUCCAAGGCUAUGAGGGCUAUGAAGGCAAGUGCCAAAUAUGUAAGAAAACAAACCAUAUUGCUAAGGACUGUGAUUGGCGCUACGCCGAUGACAACUCCCAGAAAAAGAAAAUUGCAGCUUCAGCAGAAGGAUCAUAUGGUGUCGAUACCAAUUGGUACCUGGACACGGGUGCAACAAACCACAUUACUGGAGAGUUGGAGAAGCUGACCAUGCAUGAAAAAUAA